rnacentral:rRNA from 1 species
AGAGCGAACGCUGGCGGCAUGCUUAACACAUGCAAGUCGCACGGUCGGAGCAAUCCGGCAGUGGCGGACGGGUGAGUAACGCGUAGGUAUCUAUCCAAGGGUGGGGGAUAACGCCGGGAAACUGGUGCUAAUACCGCAUGAUGACUGAGGUCCAAAGGUCGCAAGACCGCCUAUGGAGGAGCCUGCGUCCGAUUAGCUUGUUGGUGGGGUAAUGGCCUACCAAGGCAUUGAUCGGUAGCUGGUCUGAGAGGAUGAUCAGCCACACUGGGACUGAGACACGGCCCAGACUCCUACGGAGGCAGCAGUGGGGAAUAUUGGACAAUGGGCGAAAAGCCUGAUCCAGCAAUGCCGCGUGGAUGAAGAAGGUCUUCGGAUUGUAAAGUCCGUUUCGGCGGGGACGAUGAUGACGGUACCCGCAAGAAGAAGCCCCGGCUAACUUCGUGCCAGCAGCCGC